AACGAACGCUGGCGGCAGGCUUAACACAUGCAAGUCGAGCGCCCCGCAAGGGGAGCGGCAGACGGGUGAGUAACGCGUGGGAACAUGCCCAAAGGUACGGAACAACUCCGGGAAACUGGAGCUAAUACCGUAUGUGCCCUUCGGGGGAAAGAUUUAUCGCCUUUGGAUUGGCCCGCGUCUGCUUAGCUAGUUGGUGGGGUAACGGCCUACCAAGGCGACGAUCAGUAGCUGGUCUGAGAGGAUGAUCAGCCACACUGGGACUGAGACACGGCCCAGACUCCUACGGGAGGCAGCAGUGGGGAAUAUUGGACAAUGGGCGCAAGCCUGAUCCAGCCAUGCCGCGUGAGUGAUGAAGGCCUUAGGGUUGUAAAGCUCUUUCGCCAGGGACGAUAAUGACGGUACCUGGAUAAGAAGCCCCGGCUAACUUCGUGCCAGCCGCCGCCGUAAGAC
rnacentral:rRNA from 1 species